rnacentral:rRNA from 1 species
GACGAACCGAGCGAACGUUGUUCGGAAUCACUGGGCUUAAAGGGCGCGUAGGCGGGUUCGCAAGUCUGUGGUGAAAUCCUCCGGCUCAACCGGAGAACUGCCUCGGAUACUGCGGGUCUCGAGGGUGAUAGGGGUAUGCGGAACUAUCGGUGGAGCGGUGAAAUGCGUUGAUAGUCGAUAGGAACUCCGGUGGCGAAGGCGGCAUACUGGAUCACUUCUGACGCUGAGGCGCGAAAGCCAGGGGAGCAAACGGG